AUGACAUGGCUAUGUGAACGCAAGCAAAAAGAAAAUCUAACCGCAUCAGUUUGUUGACAGCAUUCUUUCACUUUGUUUGUAUCUUGUUUACUCGUGUCAAAUUUGGAGCCGAAAAGUGAAAAAAGUGUCAGUAAUUAAGGAAACUUCCGGCGGGAUCUUACUGGAUCGCAUUCGCUAACACCCAACAGGAAGCGGUACGAGAAACGAACAAAUUUAUCCGACUUAACAAACAACCAGAAACGUUCCUAUGGAGAAAUGUUCAAAAUAAGGAGGCGGGUGCCUCACCCUUUCCGACAACCAAAGAAGCUCAAAAUAAUGAAAUUGUACAGACAACAUAUCUAUGAUAUCCAGAACGCCUCACCAUCGGAAACAGGUAUGCAGAACGAAUCGAAUUGACGGUCUUGGAAGCAGAUAGUGAGGCUUAUUGCUUUCCGGGGAAUAAAACAGUGAGCGUUGUGAUUUUCUUUCCGCCCCGGAUAGGAGGCAUAUGUUUUGAUGGAAGCCCUUGCUAAGUGUAAACCGCAGCGCUGCUAGUGGAAAUAUUACUGGUGAACAAAGAUGAAUCGAAGAAGGAUCUUACUGAAGCUUCUUUGUACCUGGCGAACCGGCCUAGAAGCAUGAAAUCAUCUAGAUUCAUCAUUCUUCUGUAAUUCAAUUAGUCGACAAGUGCAACGUUUCUAUAAUGUGAAAUAACGCUUCUGAGCAGUGAAGGAUUUUUGGAAUCGCUAGACCACUGCCAUAUUUUGUAAAAUAUUUUGGUACCCAUUAUUGAAGUUUUCGCACCGUUUAGAAACAUAGAACACCUCAGACAGGAUCUCCUAACGAAGUAAACUGCUCUUUGUUUUAAUACGACUUGAUCUCUAUUAAAGGAGAAUGAUGGAAAAGAUCCGGAGAUCGGUAUGUGAUGUAAUGGUUUUUAAUAUGCUAAAAUAAUGGAAUUUAAAAUUUAAAAAUAUUGACGUUGAAAAAUUUGAAAAAAAAAUGAAAAAAUGAAGUUAAAAAUUUUAAAAAUUAAAAAUGAAUGUCAGAAUCUAAAUAUGUAUUUUCAAAUUAAGAAAUUCUAAAAUUUAAGAAAUCAAGGGUUCAAAAAUCUAAAUAUCUAUAGAUUUCAAAUUUCAAAAUUCUAUGCUUCAAAGAUUUAAAAACUUUGAAAAUUACAAAAUUUUAAAAAUUACAAAUCCCAAAACUCUAAAGUUUGGAGAUAGUAAAAUUUAGUAGCUCGAAGAUUUAGAAUAGACCUGUGCGUCGAUGCCGAUGAUUUGAUAUGUCACCGCUCCCGUAAAAAUGCAUAGGCACGCAUCAGCUAAAUGAAAAUUUAUCACCACCUAAUAUUUUAUACCACGUCAAUGAUAUUUGUGAUCAGUUGGGACCGUUCACAAAUUACGUAACUCUGUAAAAGGAGGAAAGAGUCAGAUCGAGCGUUACGGCUUAUACAAAUAGUUAAAAUUAUCCAUACAAAAAGUG